AGAGUUUGAUCCUGGCUCAGAAUGAACGCUGGCGGCGUGCUUAACACAUGCAAGUCGAACGAGAAAGUUUCUUCGGAAAUGAGUACAGUGGCGAACGGGUGAGUAACACGUAAGAAUCUGCCCUUUAGUGAAGAAUACCUUCGAGAAAUCGAAGUUAAUGCUGCAUACGUCUCUUAUGAGAGAUCAUAAAAGAGAAAGAC
rnacentral:rRNA from 1 species